AUGCUCGUAAAUAUUAAUCAGUGGCCACCGGACAGAUAUCUUCUAGCCUUGGAAAAGCAAAAGCCCGGGAUGGGUCAAGUUGUCAAAACUUUCGCAUACAUUGAGUGGAGCUUAGAUUGUGAUAGACUCUGGGGUUUGUUGCUCAUUUCGAGGAAUUCGCGUGAUUUAUUUGUUGCAUAACUCGGCCCGGACUCAAGCUAAACUGAAGUGGGGCGAAAAACUUGCAAAAUAAAUUGAAAGCAACAAAAGUUUGUCAGUCGCACGCCGACCCACCGACAAACUGGAGCGUAAAAGUUUUGCCCUGCAAGUAAUGUACUGUGGAGGCGCUUGUAAAAAAUUACUUGCAUACUUUUUGGCGCGCUUAUAAUUGUUUUCCAUUCCCGGGUCCCGCAACUUACUCGACUCGGCAUUCAACAUUCUCCCAUUCAGCAUCCAGGAUUCAGCAUUCUUUGCUACCCGGCAGCAGUUUCCAUAUAACUCAUUAGGCAAAAGUUUAAUGCGAAUCCCCACCAACCGCUCCCAGCUGCGGGAGUUUAUGUUGAGAUUUACUUUAACUACUCUUGCGCCUGCAACUAUGCAAUAAAUUGUGCGAAAUUCUGUGUCCUCCUCUCCGUUCUGCAAGCCCUUCAACCAUUGCAUAGCCAUGACCCACAUUGGGUUGCUGCCGAGUGGGUUAGUGGUGGUCCAAAGUUAUAUAAUAAGCAGCAUUAGCUACACAUGUUCGUGGUAAAUCGCUCCGGGGAGGCAGAAGGAUCAGGACUGGCUGCCGGACAUUAUUCAGUGGACGCCGCCGCUGCUCAAGUGCAAGUGCUGCAAAGUCAGAUACUUUCCGCUUCCCGCAUUGGGUGUAUAUGCCACACCCCCCCAUAACACCACCACACCACCACACCACCACACCACCACACCACCCCCUUUGUCACCCAGCUGAACUGGACUGUCGAAACUUUUCCAAUCUAAGCU
ensembl:ncRNA lncRNA:CR46125 long non-coding RNA:CR46125